rnacentral:rRNA from 1 species
CCUACGGGAGGCAGCAGUGGGGAAUAUUGGGCAAUGGGCGCAAGCCUGACCCAGCAACGCCGCGUGAAGGAAGAAGGCUUUCGGGUUGUACACUUCUUUUGUCAGGGAAGAGUAGAAGACGGUACCUGACGAUUAAGCCACGGCUAACUACGUGCCAGCAGCCGCGGUAAUACGUAGGUGGCAAGCGUUGUCCGGAUUUACUGGGUGUAAAGGGCGUGUAGCCGGGUUGACAAGUCAGAUGUGAAAUCCUGCGGCUUAACCGCAGAACUGCAUUUGAAACUGUUGAUCUUGAGUACUGGAGAGGCAGACGGAAUUCCUAGUGUAGCGGUGAAAUGCGUAGAUAGUAGGAGGAACACCAGUGGCGAAGGCGGUCUGCUGGACAGCAACUGACGGUGAGGCGCGAAAGCGUGGGGAGCAAACAGGAUUAGAUACCCUAGUAGUC